CUAUGGGUCCAAUGUGUCUCUAUGGGUCCAAUGUGUCUCUAUGGGUCCAAUGUGUCUCUAUGGGUCCAAUGUGUCUCUAUGGGUCCAAUGUGUCUCUAUAGGGUCCAAUGUGUCUCUAUGGGUCCAAUGUGUCUCUAUGGGUCCAAUGUGUCUCUAUGGGUCCAAUGUGUCUCUAUGGGUCCAAUGUGUCUCUAUGGGCUCCAAUGUGUCUCUAUGGUCCCCAAUGUGUCCCUAUGGGUCCUACCCCAUAGGUGUCUGUCCCGCUGCCUGUCCCGGCUGCGCAGCGCCAGGGUGCAGCAGCAGUACCAGCGCAUCGGGGGGGGGCUCCCCCAUCCUGUACAUUAACCCCAUUACUCUAUGGGGUCCUAUGGGGCUCUAUGGGUCCUAUGGGCUUCUAUGGGUUUCUAUGGGUUCUAUGGGGUUCUAUGGGUUGCUAUGGGUUCUAUGGUGUUCUAUGGGGUACUAUGGUUAGUUAUAGGGUUCUAUGGGUCCUAUGUGUUUCUAUGGGUUUCUAUGGGUUUCUAUGGGUCCUAUGUUGUUCUAUGGGCUCCAA
rnacentral:lncRNA from 14 species